AUUUAUCUAUUCUUCCAUUCUUCUCUAAAUUAGUUUCUAACUUUUCAAAUUGUAAGUUUCGUUUCUUUAAAUAUUUUAAUUGAAUAAAGAGGUUCAAAUUAUAUAACCUCAAAGAACUAAAUCCCGUACACAUACUUGUAAACAAGGAUUAAUUAGACGCUGAUUUUGUAUAUUCAAAGUUUAUCACAUAACAUUGAUAGUCGUGGCUUUCUCCAAUUGUAAUCGAGUUUAACGAGUUUUAUUUAUAAAA
rnacentral:lncRNA from 1 species